rnacentral:lncRNA from 7 species
UGACAGCCGCCAAGUGCCAUUGCAUUGCAUCACAAAUCCACAAGAAAAAUACAGUUCGGACUUCACAGAUGGUUCAGACUUCACACUUCAGGCUUCAAAGUCCGAAAUUCUCCACAGCAGUCAGCAAUCCACUUCUCCACAGAAAUCCAGCUCCAGUCGUCCGUAGUCCGCCUACCGGUGAGGUGAGUGAGGAUGUGAGAGACAGAGGACAGAGGUGGGAGGAGUAAGGGCAGGCUUCUCACCAGCGAUAGCGAGCGGUGAGCGUCGUGUCCCAUGAUGCAUGUGGAACACUUGAGGUCGCCCCGGUGUCCGGGAUCCGGGCAGGCGGGCUCCGCCGCACCGAGGAGAGUGGCGGCUAGGUUAAUGGUGACCGGAGGCGGAGGAGAGCACGAUGGAGAAAAGGAAGCGGCGCUGGAAAUCUGGAAUACU